rnacentral:rRNA from 1 species
UGGGGGAUAUUGCGCAAUGGGGGCAACCCUGACGCAGCAACGCCGCGUGAAGGAUGAAGGUUUUCGGAUUGUAAACUUCUUUUAUUAAGGACGAAACUUGACGGUACUUAAUGAAUAAGCUCCGGCUAACUACGUGCCAGCAGCCGCGGUAAUACGUAGGGAGCAAGCGUUGUCCGGAUUUACUGGGUGUAAAGGGUGCGUAGGCGGCUUUGCAAGUCAGAUGUGAAAUCUAUGGGCUCAACCCAUAAACUGCAUUUGAAACUGUAGAGCUUGAGUGAAGUAGAGGCAAGCGGAAUUCCCCGUGUAGCGGUGAAAUGCGUAGAGAUGGGGAGGAACACCAGUGGCGAAGGCGGCCUGCUGGGCUUUAACUGACGCUGAGGCACGAAAGCGUGGGUAGCAAACAGGAUUAGAUACCCUGGUAGUCCACGCUGUAAACGAUGAUUACUAGGUGUGGGGGGUCUGACCCCUUCCGUGCCGGAGUUAACACAAUAAGUAAUCCACCUGGGGAGUACGGCCGCAAGGUUGAAACUCAAAGGAAUUGACGGGGGCCCGCACAAGCAGUGGAGUAUGUGGUUUAAUUCGAAGCAACGCGAAGAACCUUACCAGGUCUUGACAUCCAACUAACGAAGUAGAGAUACAUUAGGUGCCCUUCGGGGAAAGUUGAGACAGGUGGUGCAUGGUUGUCGUCAGCUCGUGUCGUGAGAUGUUGGGUUAAGUCCCGCAACGAGCGCAACCCUUGCUAUUAGUUGCUACGCAAGAGCACUCUAAUAGGACUGCCGUUGACAAAACGGAGGAAGGUGGGGACGACGUCAAAUCAUCAUGCCCCUUAUGACCUGGGCUACACACGUACUACAAUGGAUGUUAACAGAGGGAAGCAAGACAGCGAUGUGGAGCAAACCCCUAAAAACAUUCUCAGUUCAGAUUGCAGGCUGCAACCCGCCUGCAUGAAGAUGGAAUUGCUAGUAAUCGCGGAUCAGCAUGCCGCGGUGAAUACGUUCCC